rnacentral:misc_RNA from 1 species
GACUAUGCAAUAGUUUCCCGUUUCCCUUUCUACAAAUAGUGGGUCCUUCUGUAGCUAUUUCGAUUGGCUAAAUUGACCGUCUACGACCAUCACUCCAAUUUCCUUACAGUUCGAACCUAUGUCCCAUCCGAUCCAAGGAGUAGUUCAUUUAUGAGGGAUUGAGGAUAAUGGGUUUCAUUUAAUUCUCUCAUUAUGAUCCUUGGGCUGUCCUUAAUCUGGGUUUUAAAAAUUGAGUGCUUUGAACUUCUUCCUUGAUGUGGGUAAGCAAAAUCUGCCUCUAUUUUUUACAUUUUCAGUGAUUGUCUUGAGAAGGGCAUGUGGAAACUCUUGCUGGACUGAGUGUGUUCGUACUUUAGGGUUAUACAGUGACAGUAUGUCUUAUUUACCAGUUCGAGUAUCAUUUCUUAGUUUUAGUCUAAUUAAGUGCUUUUAAAUUUGAACUUGUUAUUGUGUUUUGUAUUUCUUAUUGCCUUCAUCAUGGCAAAAUUGGUUUACUGCAAUUGUCUACUAAAUUGAUCAUGAUUAUUCCAUGGCUUGAAAGCUUUCUCAUUAACUUUUUAGUUGAUAUUGAAAAAUUUUACGCUACUAGUUUAAUCGUGCUUGUUUGACUUACCUUCCAAUUUUGAAAUAUGCCUAAUUGGAGCUAUGCUUUGAUUUUUGGGUUUCUUGAACACCUGUCUAAUAUUGAGGACCUCCAAGUUUAAAUCAGGGUAUUCUAAGAGGAUAUAAUUGAUAGAGAAAUGGCUGAUGUGAGGGGAGUAAAUAAUAUGUCAGUGGAGGUUGCUGUUCAAAGAGAGCUGGCAUACAGGAGGAAGGUGGCCAUGUUGCAAUCACCUUCCAAUUCCAACUUCUACAGGGACAUUAUACCAAUGGAGGUUAAAUCUUCAAGUUCAGGUCCUAGUCCAAGUCCUAACCCAAUGCCAAAUUCAGCUUCAACUGCUAGGCUUUCAGGAAUAAAACGGAAAGCCCUAACAAACAGCCUUGAAUUACUGACAGCUCCACAGCCACAAGAACUAGAGAAUCGGAUGGAUCGAUUUUUUUGCAAGGUUUGCCAAGUGCCAUGUUCGGGUUAUAUUAGUUUCCAGCAGCACAUAGAAGGUAAAAAACACAAGUUAAAAAUGCGGGAGCUGAAAUUUUGUAAGAAAGAAAAGCCCUAUGAGGUACGAAAUCAGCGACUCUGGUGUGGGUUUUGUAAAAUUUGGUGCAUGAAUGAAUAUGAGCUCAAGGCACACUUGGAAGGUCAAAAGCACAAGAAUGUACUUUCCAAGGUGGAAAGUGGUUGGAAAAAUGGUGGAGAGAUAACAAUAGCACCAAACAGGUGCAAAUUGUGUAAUAUUGUGCCCUGAUGGGCAGUCACUUUGAUGCACUUCAAUGGAAAAAAAACACGAGGCUGAACUACAAAAGUUGGAGAGUGCUAAGAGAGGAACUAGUGAGAGUAGCAACGGAGCAAUAUCAGUGUGAAUUGUGAAAAUUUUGCUGAACCCAGGCAACACGGCUGAAUCCAGGCGCUAACUUUGCUGUAGUAAAUGCAUGCAUGGUAAGCAGGGUAUGAAUUUAGUUUAAGUGUUGCAUCCGAAAUGGUUUAAUCUUGUCCUUUAGGAUUUUCUGAACCUGUAAUUCGGUUUGCUUGUAAAUUUGACUGCUUUGGGCAACUGCUGAACUGUGCUCUGAUUUCAAGUCUUAUGUGCACGGUGUCAAGCACCCCCGUUGUAUCCUUGAACUCGAUGUGAAUUCAUUCCAUUUCUGCAUCCAUGGUCACUGUCCUUGAUAAAUCAUAUGGGAGGGAAUUAAGUUAGUGGAUGCUUUCGAGUUAACCAUAAACAUAAACAUGUUUGGUUGCUGGGUUGAAGCUGUUGCCCUUUGAUUAGCCUCCUAGCUAUUUGCAAGAUUUCCAAUUCCAAUUUGCAUCACAGUCAUCAUCAUGAUAAAGAAACUGAUAUGUUUCUAGAGCCUUUUUUACAAGGCAAAACAAGAGGGGGGGGACCCCUCAGUGUAGUGCUGCGGCUAUCAGUUUGAUGGUGGACUUUGCACGCAUGGAUCAAGUUGCCAAAUUCAUUUGGUUAGGGCCUAUUUGAAGGGUAUCCCAACACCUGCUCCAACAUUUCCCUUGAGAAAAUUUAUAUUCUCGGGAUACGCCAACAGGCUUAGACAUAUACCAAUAGGCACGCAUUAAAGUUUCUCCCAUGAAGGGAGCAAAUGGUUCCGUAACUCUGCAAUAUAUGACCAAACUCGAGAUAGAGUCAGGAUUGCAUAGUAGAGGUAAAAAAGGCAGCCAGAGUAUAUUAGAGUGUCCUUUAUCUAUAUAUAGACAUACAUGACUCAUAAACACACACAUGAACACACCCCGUGUUUUUUGUGAGCUCAUUGGGCUCUUGGGAUUAGAAUGUCGAAAAUUGUCCACACUGGAAUCGCAAUUUCAGGGAUUGGUGCCUGACCCAUGAUGCUUAUUUUGUCCAUAUUUACACCAAAUUUCCAUGGUCCCUUAUAGCACAGCAUGUUUAAGAUUCGCCAUAUUUUUUAUCAUGCAUUAUCAUCUUUGGUUGAGUCCAAAAGUGCCUAGCUAGGGAACUAAGCUAAGCUAGAUUCUUUGAAGAGGUUAAAAAGCCCUGAUGGUAAUCCUGGGGAAGAAUUUUGAGGCAGGUGAGGUGAAUAAGUGAUAUCAAGUCAUGGGUGGAGGAAAAGAUAUGGAGACAUCUUUGCCAUACUUCACAUGACUUCUGUUGGCUAGGAAUACUCAAGUGCUUCUCCACUAGCACGAUAGUGCAGUUUUAGUUCCUAAAAAGAGAGCCAAUGAAACAAAUAAUAAAACCAAAAAAAGAAAAGGAAAAGGAAAAGAAAAUCAAACCCCUCCCUCCAUCUGCCACCUCUCUCUCCCCCUGCUUUCUUUAAAUUUGGACAUGCAUGAGCUGACAGUGAAACAUAGCCAACAGAAGAAGAUCGAGGAAGAGUUAUGGAGAGUUCAUGUGAGUAUGCAAGAAAAUAUUCCACGGAUGUUUCCCUUCAAGAACUGAGAGAUAGGCUUGCAGAGUUUGCUGAGGUUAGAGGAUGGGAGCAAUAUCACAGUCCUAGAAAUCUCCUAUUAGCCCUAGUGGGAGAGGUUGGAGAGCUCUCAGAGAUAUUCCAAUGGAAAGGAGAGGUUGCAAAAGGUUUACCCAACUGGAGUUCUAGUGAUAAGGAGCAUCUAGAGGAAGAGCUCUCAGAUGUUCUGCUCUAUCUUAUUCGUCUUGCUGAUGUUUGUGGCCUUGAUCUUGGCCAGGCUGCAUUAACAAAGAUUGUUAAAAAUGCCAGGAAAUACCCAGUUGCUGCUCAUCAAACUACUUGAUCUUCCCACCUUUCAACUACAAAUAUAUAUCAAGUUUUGUACCCUUCUUCUCUAGACAAUAAUUUCUCUUUAUUUUCAAUGCAUCUUAUAUAUUGUAAUUAAGACUUAGUUGAGUUUUAGUUAAUUAUAUCGAACUCUUCCAUGAUCCAUCUAUUUCAAAAUAAAGAACAAUUAAUUAGUUGAGUUUGUA